rnacentral:rRNA from 1 species
GUCCUUUUGAUUAUAAUUUAAGGUUUAACCUGCCCACUGAAAUUUUAAAUGGCCGCAGUAUUUUGACUGUGCAAAGGUAGCAUAAUCAAUAGUUUCUUAAUUAGAAGCUGGAAUGAAAGGUUUGAUAAGAAAAAUACUGUCUCAAUUUAAUUUUUAAAAUUUUAUUUUUAAGUUAAAAAGCUUAAAUUUAAUUAAAAGACGAGAAGACCCUAUAGAGUUUUAUAUUUAUAAAAUUUUAAUAAAAUAGAAUUAAAAUUUUAAUUUUUAAUUAAAUAUUUAAUUGGGGUGAUUUAAAAAUUUAAUAAACUUUUUAUAAUUAAAAUCAUUAAUUUAUGAAUAAUUGAUCCAUUUAAAUGAUUAAAAGAAUAAAUUACCUUAGGGAUAACAGCGUAAUUUUUUCUGAAAGUUCUUAUUGAUGAAAAAGAUUGCGACCUCGAUGUUGGAUUAAAAUUAAUUUAUGGUGAAGAAGCUAUAGGAUUAGGUCUGUUCGACCUUUAAAAUUUUACA